rnacentral:misc_RNA from 1 species
AUAACAAGUUGGGCAUGAUUAACAAGUUGACUAUAUCUAUAUCAAUCAUAUAUUCUAAGUGAUUAGGAUUCCUAAAUAAUUAGUUUUCCUUGACAGUUAGAUUUCCUUGUACAUAUUGAUUAUGUAGCAUAGUUUUACUGAUUUAUAUUCCUAGUUAGUUAGGAAACUCUUGUAUAAAUAUUGUAUCAAUUUCUCAAUGAAAUAAUAAGAGAGAAUACCUUCAUAACAAAUCACAAUUUUUUAUUAAUGGAAGCUCAUUUUUUCUUAAUCAAGAAUGGCAAACUCAAUUUGGUUGACUAAUUUUUAUAAUUAUUGGGAAAGAU